rnacentral:lncRNA from 1 species
AUUUUUAUUUCACAUCAAUUGCUAUAGUUUCAGAUGUAUGAAAGAUUCUUCAGGUUUUUCUUUGCAGCUCAUUUUAAGUAUGUGAUAUGCAGAAAUUCAUUGAGACCUGCCCAGAUGAUAUUUUAAUGGACGAAACAAAUGGUCAGAACAUCCCAACCCUGCGUUUUAAGAUCGCAAGAAACACUUCUCAAGUGAAUCGAGUGUCCUUGCAUAUGGCAAGUCCUUGCAGUCCAGAUUGGUACAUGACUGGAUGUCGAGCAACAGAUAAACAAAAGUGCUGUCCACUUCCUUUUUCAUUUAGACGUCUGGAUUUCAAGUCUCCUCAGUUAAAGAAAUUCAAUGAGACCUGCCCAGCUGAUAUUUUAGUGGAUGAAACAAAUGAUCAGGACAUCAAAAGAAGCAAUUCUCAAGUGAAUGAAGUAUCCUUGAAUAUGUCGAGUCCCUGCAGUCCAGGUUGGAAAGUGAAAGGAUGUCGAUCAACAGAUGAACGUCUGGCUUUGAUGUCUCCUCAUUUAAAGAAAUUCAUUGAGACCUGCCCAGAUGAUAUUUUAAUGGGCGAAACAAAUGGUCAGAACAUCCGAACCCCACGUUUUAAGACUGCAAGAUACACUUCUCAAGGAAACGACCAUCCUUGAACAAACUAGAGCUCCAAGGAAGUAUGGCAAGACCUUGCAGAAAUCUCAUAAAUAUUGAAAAUAUACUUUAUGAAAAUGGAAGUUUAUUUUUAAAAUGACAACUGUUUUCCAUUUUUUUUUCAUGACUAUUCCACUUCAAAAUGUUGAUGCUUUAAAAUUUUCUUCAUUAAUGGUUUCAUUGUUUAAUAUAUGUGUAAAUUAGAUGUUUUCAAUAAAGUGAAAAACAAAUGUAAUUGUGUGUGUGUGUGUGUGUGUGUGUGUGUGUGUGUGUGUGUGUGUGUGUGUGUGUGUGUGUGUGUGUGUGUGUGUGUGGG